rnacentral:rRNA from 1 species
AGUUGGUGGGGUAAGAGCCCACCAAGGCGACGAUGGGUAGCCGGUCUGAGAGGAUGGCCGGCCACACUGGGACUGAGACACGGCCCAGACUCCUACGGGAGGCAGCAGUCGGGAAUCUUGGGCAAUGGGCGAAAGCCUGACCCAGCGACGCCGCGUGGGGGACGAAGGCCUUCGGGUUGUAAACCCCUGUCUUCGGGGACGAACGAGGGGCCGGUUAAUACCCGGUCCAGGUGACGGUACCCGAGGAGGAAGCCCCGGCUAACUACGUGCCAGCAGCCGCGGUAAUACGUAGGGGGCGAGCGUUGUCCGGAAUUACUGGGCGUAAAGCGCGUGUAGGCGGUUUUGGAAGUCGGGUGUGAAACCCGCCGGCUCAACCGGCGGCCUGCACCCGAUACUCCAGGGCUUGAGGGCAGGAAAGGGAAGCGGAAUUCCCGGUGUAGCGGUGGAAUGCGUAGAUAUCGGGAGGAACACCAGUGGCGAAGGCGGCUUCCUGGUCUGCACCUGACGCUGAGACGCGAAAGCUAGGGGAGCAAACGGGAUUAGAUACCCCGGUAGUCCUAGCCGUAAACGAUGGACACUAGGUGUGGGAGGUAUCGACCCCUUCCGUGCCGCAGCUAACGCAUUAAGUGUCCCGCCUGGGGAGUACGGCCGCAAGGUUG